UACGUAGGGUGCGAGCGUUAAUCGGAAUUACUGGGCGUAAAGCGUGCGCAGGUGGCCGCGCAAGUCGAGUGUGAAAUCCCCGAGCUUAACUUGGGAAUUGCGCUCGAAACUACGUGGCUCGAGUGUGGCAGAGGAAGGUGGAAUUCCACGUGUAGCGGUGAAAUGCGCAGAUAUCAGGAGGAACACCGGUGGCGAAGGCGGGUCUCUGGGCCGAUAUCGACGCUGAGGAGCGAAAGCGUGGGGAGCGAACAGG
rnacentral:rRNA from 1 species